AGGAAGUACCUUAAGUUUUGAUAGGAAUUACCAGAAAAUCAAAACUUCGAUAGGGGAAGAAUCAUUAUGAAAUACCUUUACAUGCUUCCUCAUGUUACUUUGACUGGAAAAUUUAUGGCUGCAGCCUGUGAAAGAACAUUCGAAAAGUUCUUCUUGGUGCUACAGAUGGUGAUUCAGGUGGUCCUUCUGUAACUGGAAUUGUAGAGAGCAUCAACUUCGAUAUGGGAAGAAUCAUUAUGAAAUUCUUUACAUGCCUCUUCAUGUUACUUUGAACAUUAUACCAUUCCUUACAAACUACAAACUUUAACAAGCACAGCCAGGAAAAGGUGUACAAUUGAAAGAGCACUAUACCAUUCCUUCUCCAAGUCUUGUGAGCAGGCUGGUUGAACCAAGUCUUUUGGAAUAAUAAUUUAUUAAACUAAGGAUGAUUUCUUAAUCGCAUCCAAACAAUAUACUAGCAGCUCUGUUUGUAAAAGAUUAUUAACUUUACUAUUUGAAGAUAAAUGUUUUUUUUUUGAAGCUAUUUGAAGAUAAAUGUUAAAUUAUCCUUCUGAGAAAAAAGAAAAAUAAACACUAAAUCACAUUUGCGAUUACUCCAAUUGUUCGAUCACCUGCAUUAGAUAUGAAUUAAUAUUCAGCCAACUUUUACUUCUAAUUCAGCUGACAGCUGAUGCAAACUAAGAAAAUGACAUACAAUUCAGAAAAUUACCAGUUGGAUCAGCAUUUCCAACUAUUUGAAGGGCAUCUAAGUGGCAAGAUCAACUUCAGUUUGACUCACUUGUGUAAGAUUCUCAUGACCAGUCUCAACAGAUUCCCUCAAGAUGUUC
rnacentral:lncRNA from 1 species